GAUGAACGCUGGCGGCGUGCCUAAUACAUGCAAGUCGAGCGAACAGACGAGGAGCUUGCUCCUCUGACGUUAGCGGCGGACGGGUGAGUAACACGUGGAUAACCUACCUAUAAGACUGGGAUAACUUCGGGAAACCGGAGCUAGUACCGGAUAAUAUAUUGAACCGCAUGGUUCAAUAGUGAAAGACGGUUUUGCUGUCACUUAUAGAUGGAUCCGCGCCGCAUUAGCUAGUUGGUAAGGUGACGGCUUACCAAGGCAACGAUGCGUAGCCGACCUGAGAGGGUGAUCGGCCACACUGGAACUGAGACACGGUCCAGACUCCUACGGGAGGCAGCAGUAGGGAAUCUUCCGCAAUGGGCGAAAGCCUGACGGAGCAACGCCGCGUGAGUGAUGAAGGUCUUCGGAUCGUAAAACUCUGUUAUUAGGGAAGAACAAAUGUGUAAGUAACUAUGCACAUCUUGACGGUACCUAAUCAGAAAGCCACGGCUAACUACGUG
rnacentral:rRNA from 1 species